GAUGAACGCUGGCGGCGUGCCUAAUACAUGCCAGUCGAGCGAACAGACGAGGAGCUUGCUCCUCUGACGUUAGCGGCGGACGGGUGAGUAACACGUGGAUAACCUACCUAUAAGACUGGGAUAACUUCGGGAAACCGGAGCUAAUACCGGAUAAUAUAUUGAACCGCAUGGUUCAAUAGUGAAAGACGGUUUUGCUGUCACUUAUAGAUGGAUCCGCGCCGCAUUAGCUAGUUGGUAAGGUAACGGCUUACCAAGGCAACGAUGCGUAGCCGACCUGAGAGGGUGAUCGGCCACACUGGAACUGAGACACGGUCCAGACUCCUACGGGAGGCAGCAGUAGGGAAUCUUCCGCAAUGGGCGAAAGCCUGACGGAGCAACGCCGCGUGAGUGAUGAAGGUCUUCGGAUCGUAAAACUCUGUUAUUAGGGAAGAACAAAUGUGUAAGUAACUAUGCACGUCUGGACGGUACCUAAUCAGAAAGCCACGGCUAACUACGU
rnacentral:rRNA from 1 species